AGAGUAGAGUAAUAGAUCCAAUGGAGUUUGUCAUUAGCAUGUUGCUAAGCUAACACUAUAGUACAUUGCUCAACUCUUUUCAGGUUUUUUUUUUCUUUUUUUUCAGAUCUUCACACAAACUCUUCAUAUGUGAUUCUCUGAACUCCAAGAAACACUCUGUGGAUUGAAUCUCCCGAGAGCUUUAGGAGAGAUGCAGAGUUGAGGUUUGGCAUGAAAAUCGAACAGAAAGACAAAUAUCACAAGGUCUUUCAUCUUGAGUCAUGUUUUUCACGGUAUGUGUACCCAAGGAUUCGGCAUACUAAGUCCAAUUCCGUGCCGGCUGAGCUACCGAGCAAGCCUGUUACAUCCAGAAAGUGAAACAUAUGGAGCUGG
ensembl:lncRNA